rnacentral:rRNA from 1 species
GGACCCGCACAAGUAGUGGAGCAUGUGGUUUAAUUCGAAGAUACGCGCAGAACCUUACCAACACUUGACAUGUUCGUCGCGACUCUAAGAGAUUAGAGUUUUCGGUUCGGCCGGACGAAACACAGGCGCUGCAUGGCUGUCGUCAGCUCGUGUCGUGAGAUGUUGGGUUAAGUCCCGCAACGAGCGCAACCCUCACUUUUAGUUGCCAUCAUUAAGUUGGGCACUCUGAAAGAACUGCCAGUGAUAAGCUGGAGGAAGGUGGGGAUGACGUCAAGUCCUCAUGGCCCUUACGUGUUGGGCUACACACGUGCUACAAUGGUAUCUACAACAGGAAGCAAAAUCGCGAGGUUAAGCAAAUCCUUAAAAGAUACCUCAGUUCGGAUUGCACUCUGCAACUCGAGUGCAUGAAGCUGGAAUU